GCGGGUGUCGCCAAGUGGUAAGGCACGAGCUUCCCAAGCUCGCAUCCGCGGGUUCGAGUCCCGUCACCCGCUCCA
rnacentral:tRNA from 2 species